UAACGCGUCGGUACAUGCCUCGAAGUGGGGAAUAACUGCCCGAAAGGGUGGCUAAUACCGCAUGUGAUCGCAAGAUCAAAGCAGCAAUGCGCUUCGAGAGUGGCCUGCGUCUGAUUAGCUAGUUGGCGGGGUAAAUGCCCACCAAGGCGACGAUCAGUAGCUGGUUCGAGAGGAUGACCAGCCACACUGGGACUGAGAUACGGCCCAG
rnacentral:rRNA from 1 species